rnacentral:rRNA from 1 species
GACGAACGCUGGCAGCGUGCUUAACACAUGCAAGUCGAACGGUAAGGCCCUUCGGGGUACACGAGUGGCGAACGGGUGAGUAACACGUGGGUGAUCUGCCCUGCACUUCGGGAUAAGCCUGGGAAACUGGGCCUAAUACCGGAUAGGACCACUGCCUGCAUGGGUGGUGGUGGAAAGCUUUUGCGGUGUGGGAUGGGCCCGCGGCCUAUCAGCUUGUUGGUGGGGUGAUGGCCUACCAAGGCGACGACGGGUAGCCGGCCUGAGAGGGUGACCGGCCACACUGGGACUGAGAUACGGCCCAGACUCCUGCGGGAGGCAGCAGUGGGGAAUAUUGCACAAUGGGCGCAAGCCUGGUGCAGCGACGCCGCGUGAGGGAUGACGGCCUUCGGGUUGUAAACCUCUUUCAGCACCGACGAAGCGCAAGUGACGGUAGGUGCAGAAGAAGGACCGGCCAACUACGUGCCAGCCGCCGCCGUAA